AGUUAGUUAGUUGUAAUAGUAAGAUAUAGUAAUGGAUUUAUUUAUUAACAAUCGACCGCUUUGUUUCUUAGCUUAAAUAAAGUAAGGCUGACCAUCUGUGUACUCUUUGUCCGGAAAAAAUGGAACUGAAAGUUAUUUCUAAAACUUUCCCCAAGCUUUUCUGUUGAUCCAAACACUUUCUGCACAUUUAUAUUAUGAUCUGCAUGCUAUAAAAGUUCCUUAUUUCUCGCUGUCUGUGUGUACGAGUCAUCCUUCGGUUGCGCUCUUAUGAAGUUUUCUACAGUUUUCUACUUGAGUAAGGCUCCUCCCCCUCUCCGUGUUUCUCCCCCCCGCCCCUCCUCCUCCUCCUCCUCUAUGCUCAGCUCGGUGUGCGUCUCCUCUUUCAGAGGGCGCAAGGGUGGCAGCAAGUCGUGCGCCAAAGCAUGCGCGAGCGCCGACAUGACUUGCCCGUCGGACAGCGAGCGCAUCGUCAUCAACUGCGGCGGCGUGCGGCACGAGACCUACCGCAGCACGCUGCGCACGCUGCCCGGCACGCGCCUGUCCUGGCUGACCGAGCCCGACGCGUGCAGUAACUUCGACUACGACCCGAAGUCGGACGAGUUCUUCUUCGACCGGCACCCGAGCACGUUCGCCUUCAUCCUCAACUACUACCGCACCGGCAAGCUGCACUGCCCCGGCGAUGUGUGCGGCCCGCUGUUCGAGGAGGAGCUCGCCUUCUGGGGCAUCGACGAGACCGACGUGGAGGCGUGCUGCUGGAUGAACUACCGGCAGCACCGCGACGCCGAGGAGGCGCUCGACAGCUUCGAGACGCCCGAGCCGGACGCGCCGGAGGACGAGGCGGCGGCGCUGGCCGGCGGCGGCGGCGGCGUAGGGGGCGGGGCCGACGGGGACCUCAAGCGGCUGUGCCUGCACGAGGACGGCGGCGGCAAGCCGAGCUGGUGGAGCGUGUGGCAGCCGCGCGUCUGGGCGCUCUUCGAGGACCCGUACUCAUCCAAAUACGCGCGGUACGUGGCGUUCGGCUCCCUGUUCUUCAUCCUCAUCUCCAUCUCGACGUUCUGCCUGGAGACGCACGAGGCGUUCAACACCAUCUACAACCGCACGGAGAACGUGACGGUGGGGAACGUGACCCGCGAGGAAGUGGUGUUUGAGGUAGUGACGGACAGCUGGCUGACGUACGUGGAGGGCGUGUGCGUGAUAUGGUUCACCAUCGAGGUGUUCACGCGCGUCAUCUUCUGCCCCGACAAGGCCGAGUUCUUCAAGAGCUCGCUGAACAUCAUCGACUUCGUGGCCAUCCUGCCCUUCUACCUGGAGGUGGCGCUCAGCGGCCUGUCGUCCAAAGCCGCCAAGGACGUGCUGGGCUUCCUGCGCGUCGUCCGCUUCGUCCGGAUCUUGAGGAUCUUCAAGCUGACGCGCCAUUUCGUCGGGCUCCGCGUGCUGGGCCACACCCUGCGCGCCAGCACCAACGAGUUCCUGCUCCUGAUCAUCUUCCUGGCGCUCGGCGUGCUCAUCUUCGCCACCAUGAUCUACUACGCGGAGAGGAUCGGCGCUGAUCCCGGUGACCCCACGGCCAGCGCGCACACCUCGUUCAAGAACAUCCCUAUCGGCUUCUGGUGGGCCGUGGUCACCAUGACUACGCUGGGCUACGGCGACAUGUACCCCGAGACGUGGUCGGGCAUGUUGGUCGGCGCUCUGUGCGCCCUGGCUGGCGUGCUGACCAUCGCUAUGCCGGUGCCCGUCAUCGUCAACAACUUCGGCAUGUACUACUCGCUGGCCAUGGCCAAGCAGAAGCUGCCCAAGAAGAAGAAUAAACACAUCCCGCGAGCCCCGCAGCCCGGCUCGCCCAAUUACUGCAAGCCCGAUGCUCUCGCCAUGGCCACUGCCUCGCCGCACAGGAUCAUGGGUAACGUGCUGGGCGGGAGCAUAGCGGGGGACUGCCCCCUGGCGCAGGAGGAGAUCAUUGAAAUUAACAGAGCAGACUCGAAGCAGAACGGGGAUGCGGCUAACGCAGCCCUGGCUAACGAGGACUGUCCCACAAUAGACCAAGUCCUGGGGCCGGACGACAGGAGUCCGGCGACGGGGACCGGGCGCUACCCGCACGACCGCGCCUGCUUCCUGCUCAGCGCCGGCGAGUUCCGCACCACCGACAGCAAUGUCAGGAAAGAGAACUAUUCUGAAAGCCCACUGCUUAUCAGAUAUAUGCAAAAAGAAGCUGUAACUGUGAAGUAAACUAGAACAGGAAACUCCAUCUUCACGUGCACGCUCCCGAACGAACACCCAACCUGUCAAUCACCUCCCCCCCCCCACCUCUUCUUCCUCCUCCCUGUAACAACGGUUCCUUCCUCACCAACCUCUCCAACCUUAUUUGCAUUUUUAUUCCUGAUUAUUUUUUUUUUAUUUGUAUUUUUUUAAUCCUUACAUAUUCUCUUUUCAUGCACUUUUCAAGUUCUGCUGCUGUUUUCCUUCUCUCUUAGUAUGCAGAACAGAUUAUUCAGAUUUCCUGCGCAUGACGGCGGGACGCUUUGCCUCUCGCCGCCUGCCGGGUGCUCGUAGCCGAACCCGUCCCCCGCGGGCCGUCGAGCGUUUUUAACGAGACCUAAAUUGAUGUAGCACACACACUAUGAUGUAGACCAGUAGCAAACGUUUAGUCUUUGUAUCCGAAAUAAUGGCAAAUAAUGACCGUGAACGAAUGUGUAAGACGAUGACGAUGCUACGACUUCACGUCUUCAGCAGUGCAUGUUGUUGUCUCUCUUACUAACCGGAAUGCUUCGUCCUGCAUCCUUGUGCAUCUUGAGAUUUUUAUUUUAUUUUUUUUUCCCCAUUCAAAAGAUUUUAAAAGAGUUAGACUAUAGGCUUAGGAGAGCAGGAGAGGACAACAAUUCAUCCAAAAAAAUGCAGAGGAGGUCGGCACAGGAAAGAGCAUCCCCUUUGAACGAACAACCAUUAGUCAUGUAAAGAUUUUAUUUUAUUUCUUUUGACAUAAAAGUGACCCAGAAUCUUCUCUGUCUCGCACGUCACUACUCAGGUAUCGCGCUCUACGUCGGUCUUUUAUCAGUGCUUCCAAAACUUCUGCCUACUCUAAAUAAAAAGGCAGAAAUAAUUUAAAAAAAAAAAAAAAAAGAUGACGAAGAGGUUAAGUAGGAACGUGUCCUAAACCUAAAGUGUCCACAGGUCUUCCUUUUUCCUACUGUCCUUCUGCUUUUUUUUUUUUUUUUUUUUGUAAUUUCUUCUUUUUUUUUUUUAUUUAUUUUGCCAUAAUCUAUGACGCUUUAUUCUCUCUAUGAGUCCUCGCAAUCACUUUGACUCUUAUUUAAUUCUUUUUUUUUAUGAAUAAUUCCUUGGAUAAUGAUAUGUUUAAAAAAAAAAAAAAAAAGAAGAAAAAAAAAGAAAGAAAGAAAGAAAAGAAACAUCAAAAUGUGAUCUGUCUGUAAAUGGAUGUCUAGCCACCGCCGCCACCUAAUAAAAAAAAAAUACAGUAAUUAAGAGUGGGACUGAGAGAGCGAAAGACAGACGGACAGAGUGUAUGUGUGUGAGGGACAAAAACGAGUGUGUGUUGAAAGAGGAUUCGGCCAACAGAAGAGAAGGCGCCGGGAAAUGGAGGAGAGUUUGAGGAAGAAGGAAAAAAAAAAAAAACUGAAAACAGGAGAGAGAGAAAAGAGAGGAGCAAGGAAGGAAGGAAGGAAGGAAAGCAGGAAGGAAGGAAGGAAGGAAGGAAGCUGAUCGGCUUCUCAGUUGCUGAGUUUCUGAACCGGCCGCUGUCUCUCUGUAAAGACGAAAUCCGGCAGCGCAGCCUAAAAAUAAUUCCAGAUUCCAACUUCAUAAAGUGAGAGAACACACCAGGACAAAAGAAGCGAGAGAAGACAAGAGAAGAGAAGAUGAGAGGAAGGAGACGGAGCGGUGCUAUUAUGGCUUGUGUCUCCGCUCAUAGAUGGAACCCCUGAAUGGAUGGAUCAAGCACAGGCAUACUCCACCGUUACGAUGGCGGGACUUUCUACGUUCUUCCAAACCGGACAGUCGUCUCAAUCUGGGCUUAUUCGCACACAUAUCAGUAUGACGAUGGAGAAAGACUUCCUUCCCUCGUUUGCACUCAGCGGUUUCAUCUGCUCUCUUUGCAUUGAAUCUUCUUAAAAAAAGAAAAAAAAAACAGUCAUUUGCAUGCACUAUAGGUGGAAGCUAAAGAUUUGGGAUUGUCUUCACCGCUUUUUAUUUUUAAGGGCAAAGAAAUUUCCAUGGAAGGUUUCCCAAGCUUGAUUCAACUCUAUGCAAUUCAGCCACUCACUAUUUAAAGAGAGAAAGAAGAAAAAAAAAGCCAAGUCAGCAGACGACACUUGACGUCACACUCUUUCCAAACGACGGAGGGUCAGGAGCCAGCGUCUGGCACGGACUCGCGUCUGCAAUGAAACUCUCCUCUCAUGUACUGCAGCUAAAAAACCUUCAUCGGACCUUUCGUUUCAUCCUUCAGACGGGCGAAUCCUCAUCAGGUCACGUCCAUGACCCACUCACUGGCAUGUGACUAUAACAAACAAUACACGGGAAAGACGCUCAGCAUCCCUUCGUCCCUGUCUUUCUCGUGUCUCUCUCCAACAUCUCAGCAUUCCUCCUCCUCCUCUGUAGCUGAACUGCAUGGCAUGAAAAUAAAAACAACAACAGCGACAACAAAUGAUCGUUAAAUCCUGGGUAGAUGACGAGCGUACAGGUCGCGGGACAAUCCUGACCGCGUCCACGGCUACGCGACACGGUGGACUUUCUGUUGAUGGACAGAGGGGGGGUGAACUUCAAAAACGAAACACUUAAAUGGAGAGAGAAAAAAAAGAAACACACCAAUAAUCCGAAUGCAAAUUGAAAAAAAAGAAGAGAAAGAAAUGCAUUUUCUGACUUUGUUUACCAGCAUGAUAAAAAAUUGCAUGACUCUGCUUCGAAAAAGUCCUCACCCAACGUCCCCCCCAAACACACACACACACACACACACACACACUUUAACAAAAAGAGAAAAAAAAACUAAAAAAAAAAAAGAAGGCUUGGAAUUAUUAGAAAUUAUUAAAAGAGCAAAAUCCCUUGCAGGUUUAUGUUAUAUGCAACUACAUUAAAAAAGUUAUAUUAUUUAAAUAAGAAAAAAAACCUAUAUUUUGUUUUACUAAAUAAAAUAAAAAAACGGGAUAUAUAUGUAGGACUGCGAGAUACAGUCAGAGUGUAGAUAUUAGACACCCCUGAGAAAUACCUGCUAUUGACUAUAAAACUAGUUCUGCUCUUCAUUUCCAUACAAAAAUAAAAACCGCCAUUUUUUUCCCAGAUUUUUUUUUUUUUUUCCUCUCCGUUCCUAAUCUUAACUCUUUUCGUCCUGGGAAUUUACAUCUUCCACCAUUUGCGGUUGGUCACAAUCCAUGCAAUUACACAUUUAUUCAUACUGCUCUGAAGAAGCACUUAGGACGUGUUGACCUUUGACACCAUUGUCAGGUCAGAGCUCCUUUCCUGUGUGCGAUUAAAGACUUUUAAAAAGGGAUUUCUGUAGCACAAAGCUGUAAGAGCUUAAGUUGAAACCUGCGUUAAACUUCACUGUGCAAAAGUCUUAGGUCAUUCCCGGUUGUGUUUUAAAGCAAAAUACAGCAAAAUAUCUGUUAAAGAAAAAUACCCAAAAGAACCCAGACCCAUUUCUCCUGUAAGGGAAAUGAUAGGGGAUGGAACACAGAGCACAUGGAACACCUUAGGAAAGAUUUUAGGGUUAAAAGCUCUAUGCGACAUAUCUCACAGCGAUAUAUUCUUAAUUAGUUUUAUGCAGUUAGAACAGGUUAAAUAUGAAACAUAAGAUUUUUAAGAGUUUUAUUUGAUCAUCAAAGCUGUUAAAUAGGAUGAAAUGAAACAAGCUUUUUUAAUAUUAGCCAGUGGUGCAACAUGUGCUACCAUACGAGACCACACCACCAUAUUAGAAAUAUUUGUCUCCAUAUUAUGACCAUGUGACCAUAUUAUGCCAUGGGUCCGGAAAUUCACAGAUUGUCACAUAACUCUUCAUUAGACGUCACUUAGGGACUUCAUCAGUUAAAGUCGAGGAUAAAGAUGAAUAAGGAACUUUCCAGGACUUUUAAACGUCCUGGGAUGCCGUGGGUCCUUACACGCUACUGAUGCAGGUGUAAAAUGAUAUUAAAAGUUUGAAAGUCAAUUUGGACUUCUUUUUGUGUAGCGUUUACUCAUUGAUAUAAUGUCUGUUGUACCAAGUUUGUAAAAUAACCCAAUAAUACAACUUUCUACCAUUAUUCGUUAUUAUUUAUUAUCGCGCCACAACAACUUAUUGUUGAGACACAUACAGUGCAGAUCGCCGUUAUCUGUCCAUUUUAUUUCAUCCUCAACUCUGUCCGUUUUAUUCUAUACUUCUGUCCCCUGAAACCAUUUGUGUGAAUUUGAUCAAACCUUCACGGAACUUUUAUUAGGAAGCAUAGAUGUGGACUCAAUAUUCCAUUCUCUAAUGACGCCACUUGUCCAGUAGGACAUUAAGAAAAUGUAGCGCGUUCAGUGGGCAGGUGACAAGUCUUCCAUGGAAGACACACAUGUUUCUUACUCGAGUGGUAGUUCUGCCCGUGAUUUCACCUUGCCGUUACAUAAAUCAUAUUUUUCAGUGUUUUUGUCAAAAUUCAGUCCAUUUUGAAUACAUUAUUCUUGACACUGUUAUUAUUGGUUAAGCAGUUUUAGGAACCUGUUGCCUUAUAGUAUGUUAACGAAAGCAAUCCAAAAGGCAUCUGUAAAUCAGUACAAAUAAGUUUAAUCAUUUAUUUGCGACAAAAUAACAGCAGAAGCUUCACUACCUUCACACCACGCCGCAGUGGUCGAACUGUGUUAUUGUAAGAUUUCCAAAGUCACCUUCACUGUUAAUCAUCAUUUUGCCCAUCAGCUUAAUGUAAAUAGGCUGUACCAGGAUUCUUUUGUUAGAUUAAAACUAUGAUGUCAUUGACACACAUCGAAUACAGCAACCCCAUGCACACCAAAUUACCAGUGAAGAAGUGGUUUAAGCUGUAGUAUAUAUACCAAUAGUCAACCAGUUGCAUCAGUCCAUCAGAUUAUUUGUUACUAACUGGUCUUCAAUGUCAAAAAGAAAUUUAUUUUAUGUUUUUUCUGUUAAAAUCCUUCCUUCUUGUUCUUUUGGAGCAAAGCUACGUAAUUACUAACAGUUAUGUUUCAGUUAGAAUAAUAACAAACAAUCAAAGACUAUAGAGUAGAAGAUGUUACAUUAAAAUGUUAAGGUUUGGUUUGGGCAUCAUGGCAAAACAUGAUAUACAGCUUUUAAUAACCUGUGACUAGCCAGUGCAACGUAACUGAAUGACUUACAGUACUGUGCUUGAUCCAGCCCUCGUUUCUUCAUAUUUUGCUUUCAAAGAGACGGACUGUCUUGUAGGAAUAGUUUUCCAGACUUUCUGAAGGUCUUUUUUGUCUCUCAUGUAUUUUUAGUCCAGUCCCAGUACCUGAGUAGUUUCAGAGGAAUCUUUAUUAUUUGUUAAGCCACACAGUGACCUAUAAAUCAUUUAAAGAUCAAAACAACUAACUUAAGGCAUGAAUCAGUGAGAAACAGGUCCAGGUGAUCAGGUCAGUGAUUAGUGUACUCCUAAUGCUGAAUGCUGAAUGGUUGGAACAGAUGAGAGGGGAAAUGAAAUCGCUGCUGAGGUUUUAUCUAUUGUUUUUUUUAUUUUAACUUUAGGCACUUGUAGUCUGUCGCAUUUGUUCCCAUUCAUCAGUUUAAUCUACAUCAUUUAUUAUGAAGAAACGAGGGGAAGACUUUUGCACAGUACUGUAUGGACGUGCUCGGUAAAUUACAGGCGUUUUUUAAUUUGCAUAUACGAAAAAGAAAAUAAUUCGUCUGGAAG